CAGUCGCCACGGGAAUACGAAGGGUGCAAGCGUUAAUCGGAAUUACUGGGCGUAAAGCGUGCGUAGGCGGUGAGUUAAGUCUGCUGUGAAAUCCCCGGGCUCAACCUGGGAAUGGCAAUGGAUACUGGCAAGCUAGAGUGUGUCAGAGGAUGGUGGAAUUCCCGGUGUAGCGGUGAAAUGCGUAGAGAUCGGGAGGAACAUCAGUGGCGAAGGCGGCCAUCUGGGACAACACUGACGCUGAGGCACGAAAGCGUGGGGAGCAAACAGGAUUAGAGACCCGCGUAGUCCCUGUCUCUUAUAC
rnacentral:rRNA from 1 species